rnacentral:snRNA from 1 species
AGGUUGUAACAAUAAUGAUUAAG